rnacentral:sRNA from 1 species
UUCAUUUCGUUUCCAGUGAACAACACCCCGUAAGCAGGACACAAAAAAUUGUUACAGUUUGGCUAUAAAAUUACAAAUUUUUUGUUAUUUUUUUCCCUGGGUCCUUUAUAUUUGAAAGAGAAUAUGUCAGCAUGUGAUUUCAAAGAGGCAAAAAAAAAGCGUCUGAAAAAAAUUUAAUAAAAACCCACCGGAAAUUAUGUGCACGACUUGAUUGGAAUGUCAGAUAAAGUCAAAUGGAUUUCAGCGUAAAUUAAGUUGCCAGAAAAAUGGAGAAUUUCCACCCAACACCCAGCUGCUGUCUAAGCUUUUUUUUUAUUAUCCUAAAUUUUUGAGGGAAAAUGGUGUAAAAAAUAUACAUUUUUGGUCUAGUUUGGAGAUUUUAUAUUGAUUCUAAAAAAAAUAAAUAUUCACCAUAAGAACUGAUGAAAGCCCAAGAAGGAAGGAUUAUCCUUUUCUUUCCGAAAUAAAAAGGAUAAAAUUAAAUGAUACAAAACCGGUUAGACCGGUCGUAUCCAUGACGAAAUAUUGUGGUAUUUUUUAUGAAAAUAUUUGAUCCAUUUCGCAUAUGAAUAUCUCCGGUGAAUGGGAAUAAAUUAAACCCCUUUCGGGAUGCAGCUGGCCAAGUUUCGGGCAUAUUCAGAGCGCGACGAAGGAAAAACA